rnacentral:rRNA from 1 species
UACGGAGGGUGCGAGCGUUAAUCGGAAUUACUGGGCGUAAAGGGUGCGUAGGUGGUUGAUUAAGUUAUGUGUAAAAUUCCUGGGCUCAACCUAGGGUUGCAGAUAAAACUGGUUGACUAGAGUAUGGGAGAGGGUAGUGGAAUUUCCGGUGUAGCGGUGAAAUGCGUAGAGAUCAGGAGGAACACCAAUGGCGAAAGCAGGUACCUGGCCCAAUACUGACACUGAGCUGCGAAAGCUAGGGGAGCAAACAGG